rnacentral:rRNA from 1 species
UACGGAGGGUGCGAGCGUUAAUCGGAAUUACUGGGCGUAAAGAGCGCGCAGGCGGUCGUUCAAGUCGAGUGUGAAAGCCCCCGGCUCAACUGGGGAGGGUCACUCGAUACUGAUCGACUUGAAGGCAGGAGAGGGAAGCGGAAUUCCCGGUGUAGUGGUGAAAUGCGUAGAUAUCGGGAGGAACACCAGUGGCGAAGGCGGCUUCCUGGCCUGUUCUUGACGCUGAGGCGCGAAAGCUAGGGGAGCAAACAGG